GGAGUCUAGCAUGUGCGCGAGUCAUUGGGAUUCGUAGCUAAACCUAAAGGCGAAAUGAAAGUGAAGGCGCGCCUUGCGCGCGCCGAGGGAGGAUGGGCGCGGCUACGUGCCGCGCCCCGCACUCCCGGGGCGUCUCGUUCUCAUCGCGAGAAGAGGCGCACCCAGAGCGUACACGCUGGGACCCGAAAGAUGGUGAACUAUGCCUGGUCAGGACGAAGUCAGGGGAAACCCUGAUGGAGGUCCGUAGCGAUUCUGACGUGCAAAUCGAUCGUCGGAACUGGGUAUAGGGGCGAAAGACUAAUCGAACCAUCUAGUAGCUGGUUCCCUCCGAAGUUUCCCUCAGGAUAGCUGGCGCUCGCUUUUGCGAGUCUCAUCCGGUAAAGCGAAUGAUUAGAGGCAUUGGGGUCGAAACGGCCUCAACCUAUUCUCAAACUUUAAAUGGGUGAGAUCUCCGGCUUGCUUAAAUUUUAUUUAUGAAGCCGCGAGAUCGGAUCAGAGUGCCAAGUGGGCCAUUUUUGGUAAGCAGAACUGGCGCUGUGGGAUGAACCAAACGCGGAGUUAAAGCGCCUAAAUCGACGCUUAUGGGAUACCAUGAAAGGCGUUGGUAACUUAAGACAGCAGGACGGUGGCCAUGGAA
rnacentral:rRNA from 2 species